UCAAGGACAAGGAAGGAUAUAAUAUGGAUGAGAAGCCAGAAACCAAAGGAAAUAGAGGAGCAAUGGGGAACAAGUGUAAGCACAGUAUACGCAUACCCAAACCUCUAAUUCAAUCAUCUUCUUGACUCCUUUAUUCACAUUUUUUUUUUAAUUUUUCUCAUUUUUCUGUAUAUAUUUUUUUCUCUUUUUUUUUUCAUCUUGUCUCUUUUCUUUUCUCUCUUUUUAGAACACAACUCUAAGAGACAAGAUGCACAACAUAUUUACAAAAC
rnacentral:lncRNA from 1 species